GUUAACCGAAUAGGGGAGCCGAAGGGAAACCGAGUCUUAACUGGGCGUUAAGUUGCAGGGUAUAGACCCGAAACCCGGUGAUCUAGCCAUGGGCAGGUUGAAGGUUGGGUAACACUAACUGGAGGACCGAACCGACUAAUGUUGAAAAAUUAGCGGAUGACUUGUGGCUGGGGGUGAAAGGCCAAUCAAACCGGGAGAUAGCUGGUUCUCCCCGAAAGCUAUUUAGGUAGCGCCUCGUGAAUUCAUCUCCGGGGGUAGAGCACUGUUUCGGCAAGGGGGUCAUCCCGACUUACCAACCCGAUGCAAACUGCGAAUACCGGAGAAUGUUAUCACGGGAGACACACGGCGGGUGCUAACGUCCGUCGUGAAGAGGGAAACAACCCAGACCGCCAGCUAAGGUCCCAAAGUCAUGGUUAAGUGGGAAACGAUGUGGGAAGGCCCAGACAGCCAGGAUGUUGGCUUAGAAGCAGCCAUCAUUUAAAGAAAGCGUAAUAGCUCACUGGUCGAGUCGGCCUGCGCGGAAGAUGUAACGGGGCUAAACCAUGCACCGAAGCUGCGGCAGCGACACUGUGUGUUGUUGGGUAGGGGAGCGU
rnacentral:rRNA from 1 species